UGUACCUGUCACAUGUAUGUAUAUUUCUCGGGAGUGUAAUAGUCAAUAUUAUAAGUUCAUAUAAAUAGUGUCCAUGAAUAGCCGUUUCAUUUUAUUUUAUAACUAAAACUGACGAUAUAACUUAACCAAAAUGAAGAUUAUUUUUCGUUAAAUUAUAUGCACACAUUUCUUGAAGAAUUGGCUUGGUCUUGGAAAUUUUAUGCCGUUUGAUAUACAGAACAGUGAUAUCUGAGGAUUCGCCAGGUGCGCGUUAGUCGCUAUGGUGAUUGUGAUUUUGGUAAUUAUUUCAUAAUAAAUUUUUUUAAUUAAAAAAUUUAAAAUCUCAAUAAUUCCCAUGAAUUGAGAAAAUCAAAAUAUUUGUUAUGAAUGUUAAUUUUGUAUUUCAAUUUGCGUCCAUUGUUAAUUAGUAUGCAAAAAAUGCUGAGUAAUUAUAUAUUCCUACACAGCUUGCUUCAGGGAAUGCAAAUCAUAUUUUCACCCUUUGACAUUUGGUCAUGUGACCUAAAUUAGCCAAUCACAACACAGAACACACUUUCUAUAGGGCCCGUAAGUCUCGCGAAGCGCUACUUCCGUUGCCAGCAUUUCCGGUGACAUGCCUAUCCGCGUGAACUAGUGCUGCUUUCGAAAUGCGCGGCCGCCAAAGCUAACUCUGUAGACGGUACCAAGUGAACUACCACGCUUGGUUGUCACCGCUGUUGACAGUCGUAAAAGUUUACUUAUUUCACAAUAAUAUGAUCGGUUAUUUGUCAAUACUGUCAGGUUUAUCGGUUCCUGAAUGACAACUGACAACCAUGGGACCGCUCGUAAAGGAGUGAAUUUCUGCUGUACAGCAACCAAAAGAUGAAUCAUCAUCCAGCACGCAGCAACUUCAAGUCAGAAGUGGCCAAAAUGCAAUACAAAUACACUGAAUUAUGGAGGCCAUCACCAAUGACAUGUCCUACAUUAGAAAGAUACUUACUAAUAAAUGAAGUGUAAUGUUUUUCUGAGGGAAGAAAUAAAAGUGUUGCACCUCGUCAGCAAUAUAAUUGUUAUAACACUGCAGACUGAUUAAUAGCAGGGGCAAGAUUAAAAGAUUAAUUGUGAUAAACGGUAGGGGUUUUUAAAUUAAUAUUUCUGGUUGUGAGGCUCAAUUGAACCAAGUAAAAAAAUUGCCACAAGUCCAAAACAUUAAUAGAUUCAACUUAUCACUCAGUCAACACUGAUGCACACAAUGUAGUGCAACCAUAUUGACUUGAUGCAGAGAUAGAAACAAUUGCACCUAUUUUUCAUAUAUUCGUGUAUUUUAAAUAUUCUGCCAAUAAAUCCAAGUCAAACAAAUGAGGUAACUGUCAUUUCACAUUUUCCGCUAUCCAUUUGGACCAAUCUGUUUUAAGAUUACUGGUCAAGAAAUGUCAAUGUUUAUUGGCUAUUGUUCUAUGAAUCAGUGUAAUUUGUAUGCUGGACCCUAAAACAGUGAUGC